CGAGGUUAAGAGAAAGAAUCAGUAAUAUUGUAGGACUAACCAAUUACUAUAUUUAAACCCACAACCAGAUACAGAUUCUGUUGCACCAAUCAGCUUAAAAGCACAACACAGCACUAAAGAAGAGAAGAGAAGAGAAGUGAUGGUGAUACAUAGAAUAGAAUUAUGCAUAACUAUGGUCAGAAAAGCCGUUAAGUUUGUUAUUGCCGUGGCAGAAUUUAUAAUCACUUUUGAUGAAGAAAGAAUCCCAGAACCCCUUAACAGUACUAUUAACCAGACAAAUUUAUCCCUCCGUUUUUCUGGUUUAUUGUGUUAGAAUAUUCAUCUCUCAUUUCAUUAUUCAUUUUCUGUGCUAGAUCAUAUUUCUUUCUCUUUUGCUACAUCAAAUUCUGGUUUAUACAACACUAUACUAUGUAAAGAAAAAUAGAGGCUAGAAGCUAAAUAUUGUCCAUGUUCAUCGAAUUUUGAGAAACUUCUAUCUUUUGCUCAGAUAGCUAUGUUCAAUAAUGAAUCUAAGUUGCAGUUUUAGUUAAUUAUAACGAAUAAGGUAAGUAUGUGAUUUUACUGUUUUCUUUCUGUUUUUCUUAAAUUAACCCUUAAACAAGAUGUCAAUUUUUUUUAUUUUUCAUCAUCUUUUUCUUCUACCUUUUAUUUUAGUUACCGUUACAAAGUCUUCAAGUUUUUGUACAUCAUCAAGUAUGGUUCCAACACGUUGAAGAUACAAUCGUAAACACUGUUUUAUCUCCGUUCUUUACGAA
rnacentral:lncRNA from 1 species